UUGUGUUUUACCCUGUGAGAAGGACA
rnacentral:piRNA from 1 species